CACGUAGGGCGCACGUUGUCCGGAAUUAUGGUGCGUAAAGAGCUCGUAGGCGGUCUGUUGACGUCCGCUAGUGAAAACUCGGGGCUUAACCCCGAGCCGUGCAGUGGAUACGGGGCAGACUAGAGGUGAGGUAGGGGAGGAAUGGAAUUCCCGGGUGUAGCGGUGAAAUGCGCAGAUAUCAGGAAGAACACCUAUGGCGAAAAGCAGGUCUCUCGUGGGACGGUACUGACGCUGAGACGCGAAAGCCGGUGGGGAGCGAAACAGGG
rnacentral:rRNA from 1 species